GAUGAACGCUGGCGGCGUGCCUAAUACAUGCAAGUCGAGCGAACAGACGGGGAGCUUGCUCCUCUGACGUUAGCGGCGGACGGGUGAGUAACACGUGGAUAACCUACCUAUAAGACUGGGAUAACUUCGGGAAACCGGAGCUAAUACCGGAUAAUAUAUUGAACCGCAUGGUUCAAUAGUGAAAGACGGUUUUGCUGUCACUUAUAGAUGGAUCCGCGCCGCAUUAGCUAGUUGGUAAGGUAACGGCUUACCAAGGCAACGAUGCGUAGCUGACCUGAGAGGGUGAUCGGCCACACUGGAACUGAGACACGGUCCAGACUCCUACGGGAGGCAGCAGUAGGGAAUCUUCCGCAAAGGGCGAAAGCCUGACGGAGCAACGCCGCGUGAGUGAUGAAGGUCUUCGGAUCGUAAAACUCUGUUAUUAGGGAAGAACAAAUGUGUAAGUAACUAUGCACGUCUUGACGGUACCUAAUCAGAAAGCCACGGCUAACUACGUG
rnacentral:rRNA from 1 species